rnacentral:rRNA from 1 species
AUUGAACGCUGGCGGCAGGCUUAACACAUGCAAGUCGAACGAGUGGCGGACGGGUGAGUAAUGUCUGGGAAACUGCCCGAUGGAGGGGGAUAACUACUGGAAACGGUAGCUAAUACCGCAUACCAUCAGAUGUGCCCAGAUGGGAUUAGCUAGUAGGUGGGGUAAAGGCUCACCUAGGCGACGAUCCCUAGCUGGUCUGAGAGGAUGACCAGCCACACUGGAACUGAGACACGGUCCAGACUCCUACGGGAGGCAGCAGUGGGGAAUAUUGCACAAUGGGCGCAAGCCUGAUGCAGCCAUGCCGCGUGUAUGAAGAAGGCCUUCGGGUUGUAAAGUACUUUCAGCGAGGAGGCGUUACCCGCAGAAGAAGCACCGGCUAACUCCGUGCCAGCCGCCGCGGUAAUAC